UGGCUAGGUGGGUGGUGCUGCUGGGGGCCCCAGUUGGAGGGAAAGGCACCCCGCUUUGGGGAGCCGGACUACCUCUUACUCCCCGACCGCCCCCCUCGCUUAAGAAAAGUAGGCCGGAGGCGCAGAGGUAUCCCACAGUUCGGGGUCCAGCGCGUCCCUGCUGCCAGAACUCCAGGAAGUGAGAGCAGGGUCUCCAAGACCUGCUAGCAAGGCAAGGCCGCUUUGGGCUCCACUGUGCAUUUCCUGUGGGAAGGGUGGUGGCAGCCCUGCUCUGCUGGGGAGGUUUCCCAGAGUUUGUCAUCAGCAUCGGGUCCUAUCCUCUGGGCCAGGAUCCGUGACCCCCUCCUCUCCAUUUGCAUUCUUGUCAUCCCAGGUACCUCUCAUGUUCAUGCUUGCCCUCUCCACCAGCUUCUUCCUAGUGACAUUCAAAUGUGCUAGUGUUCACUUCCCAAACUGUUUCCAAAUGGCCUUUUCCUACCUGUGUCCCUGGUACCCAGAGAAAAUACACUUGGCACUCAGAUUUAGCAUGUCCAAGGCAGAGCCCCACUCUCCAGCAGCUCCCACUACUCAUCUACCUUUCCAGAGUGGUGCCUGGAAAACUGCCUCGGCUUCCCAGACUUCACCACAUCCUGGCAACUUUCCCUUGACAUCUCAUGUACAUUUCUUCACCCCCCACCCCCAAUCGCAUUUCCUCCUCCCUAGCCCAGGCCCUCCUCCUCCCUCCCUCUGGAAUGCUGGAAACCACCUCUAGUUCUUCAGCUCCAGGCUCUCCUUGCCUAGUCACCACUGUAACCCUUUGCCAUAUUCUAACUACCUGAUUUAAACAUGGUCUCCCUUUCAUCUUUCCCUGUUCAGAAGCUUUCAGCUCUGUUCCCACAGGUCCAAACUCUAUGCCUUUCCUUUAAGUCUUCUAAUACUGAGACCAUCUUAUCCACUAAGUACUUCAGCUACUGAAUAUACCUCCCUCUGCUAAAUCAGGCCAUAUUCUUAGUGUCCUCUGAGCUUGUUAUAUCCACUUUUCUGCCAUGGUUUGUUGAGUGCCUAUUGUGGUUUCAGGGGAUUUCAGAUAGCACCUAUAUUUCCUACAUAUGUUCAGAACCCACUGAGAUAAUUGCAGGAGACAAACUCAUAAAGAGCAAAUUGUCAGCUUCAUUCCUGGUGGAAGCUGCAAUGGUGGCCAUGGCUUUAGACAUGCAGAAUCAAUGUACCCACUUCUAUUCCACCCCAGAAUGGAAAUUCUGUUUGUGUGUCUUGCAGUUUCUGGAUAGCAGAAAAAACAUCCUUCUUAGGGCAGCUUUGCUCUUGAGACUCAAGGGGUCAGACAGGCUUAGCUACUUUUUCAAUCAGACAAGACAUUCCCAUAUCCUUGUUAAAGAAGUAGGUGGGAAAUAGAUCUCCUUCCCUGAGCUACUCCGUUCCAGUCUGUACUAGGACAGAAGGGAGAUGUGUUGUAAAAGUGUUUGCUUCUGCCCUCUAAUAACACUUAGCAACACUUUUCAUCUCUUGCACAUAACUGCAUCCUCUCAGAAUCUGGCAUCAUCUUUUCUCUCUUCCGCCUUCUGUCUAAUCAAAUUGUGUUGUUUUUUACUCCAGGACCCAAGUAAAGUCUAAUUGCUUCGCUAGCCUGUUUUCUGACAAUAACUCGGCACACCGGAGAGCACCUCAGGAGUGAGAUCAAACAAACCCAGCUGUCACUCCUGUUGCUACCAUUUUAUUUAUUAGAUGUGUGACUUUCUUCAAAUUACUUAAGUUUUCUUAACUAAGAUUUCUGUAUCUGAUAAAUGGCAGAGGUAAUGCCUUGAAGAGGUUGUGAAAUUUAAAUGUGGUACCUCAGAAAAAGCCAGGCAGGUAGUAAUUUCCAUAAAUGGUAGUCAUUAUUGCAUUGAUCUGCUUUGCAUGUGAAUUGCCAUGGAAUUAUGUAUCUGGUACCUUCCCCCUAUUCAGCAUGUCUUAUUUUAUUUAAUCAUCACAACAAACUGAAAGAUUUUUUUAUUGCUUCCAUUUUCCAAAUAGGGGAAAUGAAGCUCAGAAAAAACUGGGUACUUGCCCACGAUUAUUAGCUAGGCAAGGAAAUGGAAACAGAAAGAAUUUAAGGACUUUGCCCAAGGACACACAAUAAGAGGUGGAUAUUACCUUACAUUCAUCAAAGUGACAAAAAUUAAACAAGUGGAUAAUGCCAACUGCUUCAAUCUUAUUUCAUCCCCCGGAUAGUGACUCUUGGGAGUACUGGCCCAUGCUGUCAGGAUGUUAAACUAGCUACAUUGCCAGCUCCAUCAUGACCUUGGACUAUACCUUAGGGGCAAGGAAGAAAGCCCUUUUCUGGAGUUGCUACAGAAUCCCCAGGACUCACUUAUGCAUACAUACAUGUAUGUAUGUAUGAAGAUUAGUAGGAAAAACAAAUAUUAGACCAAAUUGUGCCAUGUGGGAGUUUGGAGUGAAAAUAGAGAUGUUUCAAAUAGAUGCUUAUGUUGGCAAGAUUCUGCUUUAGUAAGGAAUUAAACAAAGAACUACUUUUUGUGUGUGAGCAACUAUGGAAAGGGAUAUUGGAAAUGAUACAUUUUUAAUAAUAAAUAACAUAUAAUGAAAGCAAUAUUUUCUAUGAGAACUGUGUCAGUGCUUUGAAUGGUGUGGACGGGAGGAUCAACAUAAGGUCCCUGUACCAUAUAUAGAGCAG